GGCCAUGUGGCAAAAUGGCAUUGUGUCUGACUACAAUCCUCAGUCAGUAUCAGGAGAUUGCAGGUUUGACUCCUGUCUUAGUCA